rnacentral:rRNA from 1 species
UACGGGGGGGGCAAGCGUUGUUCGGAAUUACUGGGCGUAAAGGGCUCGUAGGUGGCCAACUAAGUCAGACGUGAAAUCCCUCGGCUUAACCGGGGAACUGCGUCUGAUACUGGAUGGCUUGAGUUCGGGAGAGGGAUGCGGAAUUCCAGGUGUAGCGGUGAAAUGCGUAGAUAUCAGGAGGAACACCAAUGGCGAAGGCAGCUCGCUGGAACGGUACUGACGCUGAGGCGCGAAAGCGUGGGGAGCGAACAGG